rnacentral:rRNA from 1 species
GACGAACGCUGGCGGCGUGCCUAAUACAUGCAAGUAGAACGCACAGUUUAUACCGUAGCUUGCUACACAAUAGACUGUGAGUUGCGAACGGGUGAGUAACGCGUAGGUAACCUGCCUGGUAGCGGGGGAUAACUAUUGGAAACGAUAGCUAAUACCGCAUAAUAUUGAUUAUUGCAUGAUAAUUGAUUGAAAGAUGCUAUUGCAUCACUACCAGAUGGACCUGCGUUGUAUUAGCUAGUAGGUGAGGUAACGGCUCACCUAGGCGACGAUACAUAGCCGACCUGUGAGGGUGGUCGGCCACACUGGGACUGAGACACGGCCCAGACUCCUACGGGAGGCAGCAGUAGGGAAUCUUCGGCAAUGGACGAAAGUCUGACCGAGCAACGCCGCGUGAGGGAAGAAGGGUUUCGGAUCGUAAAGCUCUGUUGUAAGAGAAGAACGGGUGUGAGAGUGGAAAGUUCACACUGUGACGGUAUCUUACCAGAAAGGGACGGCUAACUACGUG